rnacentral:rRNA from 1 species
GAUGAACGCUAGCGACAGGCUUAACACAUGCAAGUCGAGGGGCAGCGGGGUAGGAAGCUUGCUUUCUGCCGCCGGCGACCGGCGCACGGGUGAGUAACACGUAUGCAACCUGGCCGUGACAGAUGGAUAACCGGGAGAAAUCCCGCCUAAUACAACAUAAUGCCGGGAGGGGACAUCCCCUGCCGGUCAAAGGGGGCGACCCCGGUCAUGGAUGGGCAUGCGGCGCAUUAGGUAGUUGGUGGGGCAACGGCCCACCAAGCCGACGAUGCGUAGGGGUUCUGAGAGGAAGGUCCCCCACAUUGGGACUGAGACACGGCCCAA